rnacentral:misc_RNA from 1 species
ACUCCAACCCCAAGUGGAAAUUAUGGUAUUUUUGAUGCAGCUGAUCUUUUCCUGCUGCUUCUGCACACUGAACGGGCACAACACUGUCACCUCCAUAGCAGCUCUUCUGAUGAGGAACACUAUAGUGCUGGAGAUUGUUUUGAUCAGAAUACUGAUUCUGAUCACCACACGAAUUUGAAUUAUACUCCACAAGAUCCAAAUACUCAUCCACCUCUCCACCACCAAACAAGAACCCAUUAUUGUUCUCCCCGUUGCUAUUC